rnacentral:rRNA from 1 species
UACAGAGGGUGCAAGCGUUAAUCGGAAUUACUGGGCGUAAAGCGUGCGUAGACGGUUAUGUAGGUCGGGUGUGAAAGCCCCGGGCUCAACCUGGGAAUGCCAUUCGAGACUGCAUAGCUAGGGUGCGGAAGAGGGAAGCGGAAUUUCCGGUGUAGCGGUGAAAUGCGUAGAUAUCUGGAGGAACACCGGUGGCGAAGGCGGCAUCCUGGACCAACACUGACACUGAGGAGCGAAAGCCAGGGGAGCAAACGGG